CAAAAACUUCAUCUUUCUAAACGCUCUUCUGCCGACAUCAUUGUCUCACCAUCUCUCGUUCUUCCAUUCUGGCUCAUUAAUUUGUGUAGUCAUAAACGGGGCUACAUAGGGACUACGAAAGAGAACUACUAGUUUGAAGUACGCGCAUGUUCAAGGUUGGAAAAGGUACUUGGCCUACGAGUGAGGAGACGCUUAGAAUAAUCACCUAGUCAAGGGAUAAUUUCUAUUCUAGUUUAAGUUGGAUUUUGUUAUUUAUUUUAUGGGGAUUAAUUGGUUGUAAUAUUUUAUUGGCCACCUUUAAACCACUUAGUUAAUUUUGACUUUAAUAGUUCUAAAAUUAUUUUGUUGCUUUGCAUUUAUUUUCUAAGGAGAAUAAAUGUAACAGUGACACUCCCAAGGUUUGGACGAUGAUUUUAUGAAAUAAAAACAGGGUUUUUGAUUAUAUAAAAGGUCCAAAUUUUGGGGUGUUACAAA